GAUGAAGAACGCAGCGAAAUGCGAUAAGUAGUGUGAAUUGCAGAAUUCAGUGAAUCAUCGAAUCUUUGAACGCACAUUGCGCCCCUUGGUAUUCCGGGGGGCAUGCCUGUUCGAGCGUCAUUUCAACCCUCAAGCUCUGCUUGGUAUUGGGCUCCGUCCUCCUCGGACGCGCCUCAAAGACCUCGGCGGUGGCGUCUUGCCUCAAGCGUAGUAGAAACACCUCGCUUUGGAGUGCAUGGCGUCGCCCGCCGGACGAAACCUUUUGUAUUUUCUCAAGGUUGACCUCGGAUCAGGUAGGGAUACCCGCUGAACUUAAGCAUAUCAAUAAGCGGAGGA
rnacentral:misc_RNA from 1 species